GUCAAAUAAUCAUCGAACUGGGAUUUCGAUGUUUUCUCUGUUCUGUUUCAAAAUGGCGAUACGAACAGAACAAGAAAAUUAUUUAUAAAAAUCAUUCUUGCCCGAAGCCACUGCAAUAUCGCGGAACUCGCAAAGGCCGAAAGUCAUCGGGUGGCGUUCAACGACAGCGAUCUGAAUCCGGAUGCAGUUGUUUUAAAAAAUUUGGCAACCUUUGCAGAACCAACAUCAAAUGAAAAACUGCAACACGAAUAUUGAUCUGCUUCUUUCUUCGGAUUCGGAAGGUUCAAUAAAAAAAAAGUAACAGCAUCGCGGUGGAUGUAUCGGAACAUCCGGAACUGAUUGAAUAACAGUCUCCGUCGCUAGAGGUGGCUUUUUCAUCCAACAUCAACACCCUCCACGAAACUACACCUCUUGGAUCUGGACAAAGAUGUCAAUUUUUGAACUUUCCUGGAACAAUCGGUGACUCGCGAUUCGGGACUCAUCCAACUAUUCGGUCGAAAAAGUGUCAAUGUGAAAACAACGUCAAGUGCAUUUUAAAAUAAAAAGAUUAUGCUACCAAA